UGGGGAAUAUUGCACAAUGGGCGAAAGCCUGAUGCAGCAACGCCGCGUGAGUGAUGAAGGCCUUCGGGUUGUAAAGCUCUGUCUUUUGGGACGAUAAUGACGGUACCAAAGGAGGAAGCCACGGCUAACUACGUGCCAGCAGCCGCGGUAAUACGUAGGUGGCAAGCGUUGCCCCGGAUUUUACUGGGCGUAAAGGAUGCGUAGGCGGAUUUUUAAGUGAGAUGUGAAAACCCUAAGCUUAACUUGGGGACUGCAUUUCAUACUGGAAAUCUAGAGUGCGGGAGAGGAGAAAUGGAAUUCCUAGUGUAGCGGUGAAAUGCGUAGAGAUUAGGAAGAAACACCAGUGGCGAAGGCGAUUCUCUGGACCGUAACUGACGCUGAGGCAUGAAAGCGUGGGUAGCAAACAGGAUUAGAUACCCUGGUAGUCCACGCCGUAAACGAUGAGUACUAGGUGUAGGAGGUAUCGACCCCUUCUGUGCCGCAGUUAACACAAUAAGUACUCCGCCUGGGAAGUACGAUCGCAAGAUU
rnacentral:rRNA from 1 species